GCCGGGCGCAGUGGCUCACGCCUGUAAUCCUAGCACUUUGGGAGGCCGAGGCGGGCGGAUCACCUGAGGUCAGGAGUUCGAGAGCUGCCUGACCAAUAUGGUGAAAGCCUGUCUCUA
ensembl:misc_RNA Metazoa_SRP Metazoan signal recognition particle RNA